GAUGAACGCUGGCGGCGUGCCUAAUCAAUGCAAGUCGAGCGAAGCGGGGACGGGUGAGUACCACGUGGAUAACCUCCUCUAAGACUGGGAUAACUUCGGGAAACCGGAGCUAAACCGGAUACUUAUGGAUGGAUACGCGCUGCAUUAGCUAGUGGGUAAGGUAACGGCGUACCAAGGCAACGUUGCAUAGCCGACCGGAGAGGGUGAUCGGCCACACUGGAACUGAGACACGGUCCAGACUCCUACGGGAGGCAGCAGUAGGGAAUCUUCCGCAAGGGGCGAAAGCCUGACGGAGCAACGCCGCGUGAGUGAUGAAGGUCUUCUGAUCGUAAAACUCUGUUAGUAGGGAAGCGGUACCUAAUCAGAAAGCCACGGCUAACUACGUGCCAGCAGCCGCGGUAAUAC
rnacentral:rRNA from 1 species